CCGAACCGACUAAUGUUGAAAAAUUAGCGGAUGACCUGUGGCUGGGGGUGAAAGGCCAAUCAAACCGGGAGAUAGCUGGUUCUCCCCGAAAGCUAUUUAGGUAGCGCCUCGUGAAUUCAUCUCCGGGGGUAGAGCACUGUUUCGGCUAGGGGGCCAUCCCGGCUUACCAACCCGAUGCAAACUGCGAAUACCGGAGAAUGUUAUCACGGGAGACACACGGCGGGUGCUAACGUCCGUCGUGAAGAGGGAAACAACCCAGACCGCCAGCUAAGGUCCCAAAGUCAUGGUUAAGUGGGAAACGAUGUGGGAAGGCCCAGACAGCCAGGAUGUUGGCUUAGAAGCAGCCAUCAUUUAAAGAAAGCGUAAUAGCUCACUGGUCGAGUCGGCCUGCGCGGAAGAUGUAACGGGGCUAAACCAUGCACCGAAGCUGCGGCAGCGACACUGUGUGUUGUUGGGUAGGGGAGCGUUCUGUAAGCCUGUGAAGGUGUGUCGUGAGGCAUGCUGGAGGUAUCAGAAGUGCGAAUGCUGACAUAAGUAACGAUAAAGCGGGUGAAAAGCCCGCUCGCCGGAAGACCAAGGGUUCCUGUCCAACGUUAAUCGGGGCAGGGUGAGUCGACCCCUAAGGCGAGGCCGAAAGGCGUAGUCGAUGGGAAACGGGUUAAUAUUCCCGUACUUGGUGUUACUGCGAAGGGGGGACGGAGAAGGCUAUGUUGGCCGGGCGACGGUUGUCCCGGUUUAAGCGUGUAGGUGUGUGUUCCAGGUAAAUCCGGUUCACUUUAACACUGAGGCGUGACGACGAGGCACUACGGUGCUGAAGCAACAAAUGCCCUGCUUCCAGGAAAAGCCUCUAAGCAUCAGGUAACAUCAAAUCGUACCCCAAACCGACACAGGUGGUCAGGUAGAGAAUACCAAGGCGCUUGAGAGAACUCGGGUGAAGGAACUAGGCAAAAUGGUGCCGUAACUUCGGGAGAAGGCACGCUGACACGUAGGUGAAGUGAUUUACUCAUGGAGCUGAAGUCAGUCGAAGAUACCAGCUGGCUGCAACUGUUUAUUAAAAACACAGCACUGUGCAAACACGAAAGUGGACGUAUACGGUGUGACGCCUGCCCGGUGCCGGAAGGUUAAUUGAUGGGGUCAGCGCAAGCGAAGCUCCUGAUCGAAGCCCCGGUAAACGGCGGCCGUAACUAUAACGGUCCUAAGGUAGCGAAAUUCCUUGUCGGGUAAGUUCCGACCUGCACGAAUGGCGUAAUGAUGGCCAGGCUGUCUCCACCCGAGACUCAGUGAAAUUGAACUCGCUGUGAAGAUGCAGUGUACCCGCGGCAAGACGGAAAGACCCCGUGAACCUUUACUAUAGCUUGACACUGAACAUUGAGCCUUGAUGUGUAGGAUAGGUGGGAGGCUUUGAAGUGUGGACGCCAGUCUGCAUGGAGCCGACCUUGAAAUACCACCCUUUAAUGUUUGAUGUUCUAACGUGGACCCGUUACCCGGGUUGCGGACAGUGUCUGGUGGGUAGUUUGACUGGGGCGGUCUCCUCCUAAAGAGUAACGGAGGAGCACGAAGGUUGGCUAAUCCUGGUCGGACAUCAGGAGGUUAGUGCAAUGGCAUAAGCCAGCUUGACUGCGAGCGUGACGGCGCGAGCAGGUGCGAAAGCAGGUCAUAGUGAUCCGGUGGUUCUGAAUGGAAGGGCCAUCGCUCAACGGAUAAAAGGUACUCCGGGGAUAACAGGCUGAUACCGCCCAAGAGUUCAUAUCGACGGCGGUGUUUGGCACCUCGAUGUCGGCUCAUCACAUCCUGGGGCUGAAGUAGGUCCCAAGGGUAUGGCUGUUCGCCAUUUAAAGUGGUACGCGAGCUGGGUUUAGAACGUCGUGAGACAGUUCGGUCCCUAUCUGCCGUGGGCGCUGGAGAACUGAGGGGGGCUGCUCCUAGUACGAGAGGACCGGAGUGGACGCAUCACUGGUGUUCGGGUUGUCAUGCCAAUGGCACUGCCCGGUAGCUAAAUGCGGAAGAGAUAAGUGCUGAAAGCAUCUAAGCACGAAACUUGCCCCGAGAUGAGUUCUCCCUGAGACUUAG
rnacentral:rRNA from 1 species